CACGUAGGGUGCGAGCGUUGUCCGGAAUUAUUGGGCGUAAAGAGCUCGUAGGCGGUGUGUCGCGUCGGCCGUGAAAAACUGUGGCUUAACUAUGGGCUUGCGGUCGAUACGGGCAUCACUGGAGUUCGGCAGGGGAGACUGGAAUUCCUGGUGUAGCGGUGAAAUGCGCAGAUAUCAGGAGGAACACCGGUGGCGAAGGCGGCGACCUGGGUAGAUACUGACGCUGAGGCGCGAAAGCGUGGGGAGCAAACAGG
rnacentral:rRNA from 1 species